rnacentral:rRNA from 1 species
CUAGAUGGUGGGGUAACGGCUCACCAUGGCAAUGAUACGUACCCGACCUGAGAGGGUAAUCGGCCACAUUGGGACUGAGACACGGCCCAAACUCCUACGGGAGGCAGCAGUAGGGAAUCUUCCACAAUGGACGAAAGUCUGAUGGAGCAACGCCGCGUGAGUGAAGAAGGGUUUCGGCUCGUAAAACUCUGUUGUUAAAGAAGAACAUAUCUGAGAGUAACUGUUCAGGUAUUGACGGUAUUUAACCAGAAAGCCACGGCUAACUACGUGCCAGCAGCCGCGGUAAUACGUAGGUGGCAAGCGUUGUCCGGAUUUAUUGGGCGUAAAGCGAGCGCAGGCGGUUUUUUAAGUCUGAUGUGAAAGCCUUCGGCUCAACCGAAGAAGUGCAUCGGAAACUGGGAAACUUGAGUGCAGAAGAGGACAGUGGAACUCCAUGUGUAGCGGUGAAAUGCGUAUAUAUAUGGAAGAACACCAGUGGCGAAGGCGGCUGUCUGGUUCUGUAACUGACGCUGAGGCUCGAAAGUAUGGGUAGCAAACAGGAUUAGAUACCCUGGUAGUCCAUACCGUAAACGAUGAAUGCUAAGUGUUGGAGGGUUUCCGCCCUUCAGUGCUGCAGCUAACGCAUUAAGCAUUCCGCCUGGGGAGUACGGCCGCAAGGCUGAAACUCAAAGGAAUUGACGGGGGCCCGCACAAGCGGUGGAGCAUGUGGUUUAAUUCGAAGCUACGCGAAGAACCUUACCAGGUCUUGACAUACUAUGCAAAUCUAAGAGAUUAGACGUUCCCUUCGGGGACAUGGAUACAGGUGGUGCAUGGUUGUCGUCAGCUCGUGUCGUGAGAUGUUGGGUUAAGU